ACCUGCCCAAUGAUUUAUUUAAUGGCCGCAGUAUUUUGACUGUGCAAAGGUAGCAUAAUCAAUAGUUUCUUAAUUAGGAGCUGGAAUGAAAGGUUGAACGAGAAAAUUUCUGUCUCUGUUUUAUUAAUUUAGAAUUUUAUUAUUUAGUUAAAAAGCUAAAAUGAAUUUAAAAGACGAGAAGACCCUAUAGAGUUUUAUAAAAUUGUUUUUAAAUUUGUUUUGGAAAAUUUAAUUUUUUAAGAAUUUUUUUAUUUUGUUGGGGUGAUAGAAAAAUUUAUUUAACUUUUUUUUUAUUAAUAACAUAAAUUUAUGAUUUUUUGAUCCAUAGAUAAUGAUUAUAAGUUUAAAUUACCUUAGGGAUAACAGCGUAAUUUUUUUGGAGAGUUCAAAUCGAUAAAAAAGUUUGCGACCUCGAUGUUGGAUUAAAAUUAAAAUAUGGCGUAGAAUCUAUAUGUU
rnacentral:rRNA from 1 species